rnacentral:tRNA from 1 species
UAGGUUAAUGCUCGCUGGAUAGAGUGUUUGGUUGUUAACCAAGAUUUUACGRGAUCAAGGGCCGUUGACCUA